UCAGGUUUCCGUCUUCAAGUGGUCCCCAUGUACUUACCGGUCCCCAACUUGGAGCCUUAUGCUAACAUCUGCAGAAUGUCACUUGGAUCUCAGCUAAGAAAGAUCACCACCUCGGGAAUGAUUGCUGUGCCUGGUUUUUCUGCCUCAGAGUUUCAUUUAGCUCCUUGUAAUGCUACUAUCGGGCGCCUGGGAGCACCAACAGCUCCUUCUUGCAAAUUAGAAGAGAAAUCAUCUAGCUUUUAGCAGUCGAGAGCAAAGACAAAUGAUCAAGAGUCCCUGCCUUGCCUUCAUGACGACAGAGUGAUGAUUCACAGACAGCAGCACACUGUUCCCAUUUUACAGAUGUGGAAACCAGAGCACGAAAGCUUCAGAUCUUGCCCAAGCCAACCCCGCUGCUUCAAAGUCAUCAGUCAUACCAGGGAAACUGCUUGGCAUACCCUGAACUAAUGUUGUUCUGCUCCGGUGC